rnacentral:rRNA from 1 species
UACGGGGGGGGCAAGCGUUGUUCGGAAUUACUGGGCGUAAAGGGCUCGUAGGCGGCCCUCUCAGUCGGAUGUGAAAUCCCCAGGCUUAACCUGGGAACGGCAUCCGAUACUGGAGGGCUUGAAUUCGGGAGAGGGAUGCAGAAUUCCAGGUGUAGCGGUGAAAUGCGUAGAUAUCUGGAGGAAUACCGGUGGCGAAGGCGGCAUCCUGGACCGAGAUUGACGCUGAGGAGCGAAAGCUAGGGGAGCGAAUGGG